GACGAACGCUGGCGGCGUGCUUAACACAUGCAAGUCGAACGGAAAGGCCCUGCUUUUGUGGGGUGCUCGAGUGGCGAACGGGUGAGUAACACGUGAGUAACCUGCCCUUGACUUUGGGAUAACUUCAGGAAACAGGGGGCUAAUACCGGAUAGGAGCUCCUGCUGCAUGGUGGGGGUUGGAAAGUUUCGGCGGUUGGGGAUGGACUCGCGGCUUAUCAGCUUGUUGGUGGGGUAGUGGCUUACCAAGGCUUUGACGGGUAGCCGGCCUGAGAGGGUGACCGGCCACAUUGGGACUGAGAUACGGCCCAGACUCCUACGGGAGGCAGCAGUGGGGAAUAUUGCACAAUGGGCGGAAGCCUGAUGCAGCAACGCCGGGUGCGGGAUGACGGCCUUCGGGUUGUAAACCGCUUUCGCCUGUGACGAAGCGUGAGUGACGGUAAUGGGUAAAGAAGCACCGGCUAACUACGUG
rnacentral:rRNA from 1 species